rnacentral:misc_RNA from 1 species
UCCGGAGUUUCUCCGGCAGUCCCCCAUGAGUGCUCGGCACUACCCGCUGGCAACAUAGGGCAAGGGUUGCGCUCGUUGCGGGACUUAACCCAACAUCUCACGACACGAGCUGACGACAGCCAUGCAGCACCUGUGCACGUGUCCCGAAGGAGGGCCCCUGUUUCCAGGGGCUUUCACGUGCAUGUCAAGCCCAGGUAAGGUUCUUCGCGUUGCAUCGAAUUAAGCCACAUGCUCCACCGCCUGUGCGGGCCCCCGUCAAUUCCUUUGAGUUUCAUUCUUGCGAACGUACUCCCCAGGUGGCAUGCUUACUGCGUUAACUGCGACACUGCCCCCGAGGGGGCAACAUCUAGCAUGCAUCGUUUACGGCGUGGACUAC